rnacentral:rRNA from 1 species
CCCUUAGAUGUUCUGGGCUGCACGCGUGCUACACUGAUGCAUUCAGCAAGUAUACUUCCUUUGCCGAGAGGCCUGGGCAAUCUUGUAAACAUGCAUCGUGAUAGGGAUAGAUUUUUGCAAUUAUUAAUCUUUAACGAGGAAUUCCUAGUAAACGCAGAUCAUCAAUCUGCAUUGAUUACGUCCCUGCCCUUUGUACACACCGCCCGUCGCUCCUACCGAUUGAAUGGUCCGGUGAAGCGUUCGGACCGUGGCCUUUGGACGGUUCGCCGUCUGUUGGCUGCGGGAAGUUCGUUAAACCUUAUCAUUUAGAGGAAGGAGAAGUCGUAACA